rnacentral:rRNA from 1 species
UACGUAGGCAGCAAGCGUUGUUCGGAGUUACUGGGCGUAAAGGGUGUGUAGGCGGUUAUUUAAGUUUGGUGUGAAAUCUCCCGGCUCAACCGGGAGGGUGCGCCGAAUACUGAAUGACUUGGAGUGCGGGAGAGGAAAGUGGAAUUCCUGGUGUAGCGGUGAAAUGCGUAGAUAUCAGGAGGAACACCGGUGGUGUAGACGGCUUUCUGGACCGUAACUGACGCUGAGGCGCGAAAGCCAGGGGAGCAAACGGG